GUCGAACGGUAUGCAUGGUGCUUGCACUGUGCUGAGAGUGGCGAACUGGUGAGUAACACGUAUGUGAUCUACCUUGAGGCCUGGGAUAGCCUGUGGAAACACAUGGUAAGACCGGAUGAGCCCCUGUACUUGCGGGUAGAGGGGGAAAGGUGCUAUGGCACCGNCUUAAGAUGAGCCUGCGUCCCAUUAGUUAGUUGGUGGGGUAAAGGCCUACCAAGGCGACGAUGGGUAGCCGGCCUGAGAGGGUGAUCGGCCACACUGGGACUGAGACACGGCCCAGACUCCUACGGGAGGCAGCAGCUAAGAAUCUUCCGCAAUGGACGAAAGUCUGACGGAGCGACGCCGCGUGAACGAAGAAGGCCGGAAGGUUGUAAAGUUCUUUUGCGGGUGAAGAAUAAGGCGAGGAGGGAAUGCCUCGCUGAUGACGUUAGCCUGUGAAUAAGCCCCGGCUAAUUACGUGCCAGCAGCCGCGGUAACACGUAAGGGGCGAGCGUUGUUCGGAAUUAUUGGGCGUAAAGGGCGUGUAGGCUGUUUUGUAAGCCUGGUGUGAAAGUGCACGGCUUAACUGUGUAUGUGCGCUGGGAACUGCAAGACUAGAGUCCGGAAGGGGGAGGUAGAAUUCCUGGUGUAGGGGUGAAAUCUGUAGAUAUCAGGAAGAAUACCGGUGGCGAAGGCGACCUCCUGGUCCUGGACUGACGCUGAGGCGCGAAAGCGUGGGGAGCGAACAGGAUUAGAUACCCUGGUAGUCCACGCUGUAAACGAUGUGCACUAGGUGUUGGGGCAAGAGCUUCAGUGCCGAAGCGAACGCGAUAAGUG
rnacentral:rRNA from 1 species